rnacentral:rRNA from 2 species
AAAACGGACGGAGCCGUCAGUGGCCCUUCGGAAUCAGUCGUACGACGCGCGAUAAUGCGUUUUGCUAGAGCGAAAGUCUGGCGGACGUGUUAGGAAAUAGUAGCGUUCGUUCGAUGCAUUUCCGGAGGGUAUGCGCCACGACCGAUGCGAAAGGCUAGUGAAUCCGGCGAAUUGAGGUGGAAUCCCUUCGGGGUAUUCAGUACCAGUUCGCCGGCCUAUAGUCGCUAGACCGCAGUAGGCAUCGAGCGCGGAAUAAAUCGAACACCGGCAAAUAUGCUCGUUCGAGCGAUGGAUAGUCGACGGAAUAUUCCGUACCUGCUCGCAGGUUAUGUUUGUUCCCGUUCGGCCUUUGAAAUCGUCGACGAGUUAUGGUGUUCUGGCGUCAGUGGCGUCCGAGACGGUCAACCGUCCGACCCGUCUUGAAACACGGACCAAGGAGUCUAACGUACGCGCGAGCUAAUGAGUGGAAAACUCAUAAGCGCAAUAAAAGUAAAAGCCGUUUCCGACGGCGUGGGGUACGAUCCCGGGGUAUUUAUUUAUCCCGGGCGCAGUACCAUCCCAUCCUAAUCGCUCGUCGAUAGGGUGGAGAUUGAGUGCAUACGUUGGGACCCGAAAGAUGGUGAACUAUGCCUGA